UUACCAGCUGGACAUAGUUGAAAGAUAGAAAUAUUCAGGUGCUGCAUGGCUGUCGUCAGCUCGUGCCGUGAGGUGUUGGGUUAAGUCCCGCAACGAGCGCAACCCUGUCUCAGUUACUAACAGCUGAGACUCUGGGAGACUGCCCAGGAGAAGGGGAGGAAGGUGGGGAUGACGUCAAGUCAGCAUGGCCUUUAUGCUGGGCUACACACGUGCUACAAUGGGGUACAAGGGGCACCGCAAGGGGAGCAAUCCCAAAACCGCCUCAGUUCAGAUUGGGGUCUGCAACUCGACCCCAUGAAGGCGGAAUCGCUAGUAAUCGCGAUCAGAACGCGCGGUGAAUACGUUCCCGGGCCUUGUACACACCGCCCGUCACACCACGAAAGUUUGUGACCGAA
rnacentral:rRNA from 1 species